AGCGAACGCUGGCGGCAGGCUUAACACAUGCAAGUCGAACGGGCAUCCUUCGGGGUGUCAGUGGCAGACGGGUGAGUAACACGUGGGAACGUGCCCUUCGGUUCGGAAUAACUCAGGGAAACUUGAGCUAAUACCGGAUACGCCCUUACGGGGAAAGGUUUACUGCCGAAGGAUCGGCCCGCGUCUGAUUAGCUAGUUGGUGGGGUAAUGGCCUACCAAGGCGACGAUCAGUAGCUGGUCUGAGAGGAUGAUCAGCCACACUGGGACUGAGACACGGCCCAGACUCCGUACGGGAGGCAGCAGGUGGGGUAAUUUUGGACAAGUGGGCGCAAGCCUGAUCCA
rnacentral:rRNA from 1 species